UUUCAAAACAAGUCUUCCUUCUUCUCUUACCUUGUUAUUUCACCACUUCUCUUCCUCUCAUUUUACUUAUUUUCAAGAUAAACGUCAAACAAAAGAAGGGUUAUUGGUUUCUAAGUGCAAAUUCUAGAACAACCCACACUCCAAAUUUCGCUGAAUUUGUGUUCUUCAAAGAGUACGAGAGGAGCUUGCAGCAGUAAGCCGGGCAAGGUUUAUAGCAGGCUUAUAGCGCUUCGAAUGUUAGUACUUUGUAUAAGCUUAUGAUAAGUAUAUCACGGGGAAAUCUGGGGUAGUUUGCUUGCUUUGAUCCCAUGCCAUCUUGUUACAUUUUGCUGUUAUAUAUAUGCUGGGUUCUUGUACAGAACUUUAUAUGGUUUCAACUGAGAACUUGCUGGUUUCGUAUUCAACGGGUCUGGUCUUGGGUGUUUGCAGCAGUGCUUUUGAAUCCCUUUUGCUAUCAGAUAUCUAUGUAUUGUAGGCGUACUCAUAGGUGUCAUUAAGUGCCUGUUUGGUUUUUAAAACUUUUGCAGUAACUGGAAUGGUUUCUAUCACUCCUUUCAUUUAUUUUCUUCUUGACAGCCUUAUAUACUUCAAAUGUUUACACUUUAAACCCCUACUCACAGUCAGUAUCAUGAACUAUUAGUUGUACUUGAAGCUUUAUGUACUUAUCCCUUGAUGGAAAUCCAAUUUUGAAAAUGUGUCAGUUUGUAAGAAAAGGGUCCAUGGGAUCUCAUUUGAAUUGUCUCAUUUCAUUUGAUUUAUGUAUUUUUUUUAUUUUUUUUGAUUCUGUAAUUGGGAAUGAAGAAAUGUGAAUUUAAUUCUUGUUAA